rnacentral:lncRNA from 1 species
UUAAUAAAUCAAAGUAAUUAAGCUAAGCAUGUACUACCUAGAGUCGGAUACAUCAAUUAGACAUUGCAAGUAGUCGGAUAUAUCAGUGAGAAGGGAAUUAUUGCAUGAUACUACACUAUAUGUAUGUAUGUAUGUAUGUAUGUGUAUGAUUAAUAUGGGUGGGUGGUGGUGGAGGAGAGGCACGAUAAUAGUCCUUUUUGACUUGAAAUUAAAGAAAGCAGCGGGCCAAGUGUGUGGGUUAAGAGGAUAACUUAUGGGGCCCAUUCCCAU